UACGGGGGGGGUAAGCGUUGUUCGGAAUUACUGGGCGUAAAGGGCUCGUAGGCGGCCAACUAAGUCGGACGUGAAAUCCCUCGGCUCAACCGGGGAACUGCGUCCGAUACUGGAUGGCUUGAAUCCGGGAGAGGUGAGUGGAACUGCGAGUGUAGAGGUGAAAUUCGUAGAUAUUCGCAAGAACACCAGUGGCGAAGGCGGCUCACUGGCCCGAUACUGACGCUGAGGUGCGAAAGCGUGGGGAGCAAACAGG
rnacentral:rRNA from 1 species